GCUAGUGUGGCGCAGUGGUUUGAGUGUUGAGACUAUGACUCUGGGAGACCAGGGUUCGAAUCCUGACUUGGGCA